AUUGAACGCUGGCGGCAGGCCUAACACAUGCAAGUCGAACGAGUGGCGGACGGGUGAGUAAUGUCAGGGAAAGUGCCUGAGGGAGGGGGAUAACUACUGUAAACGGUAGCUAAUACCGUAUACCAUCACAAGUGCCCAUAUGGGAUUAGCUAGUUGUUGGGGUAACGGUUCACCAAGGCGACGAUCCCUAGCUGGUCUGAGAGGAUGACCAGCCACACUGGAACUGAGACACGGUCCAGACUCCUACGGGAGGCAGCAGUGGGGAAUAUUGCACAAUGGGCGCAAGCCUGAUGCAGCCAUGCCGCGUGUAUGAAGAAGGCCUUCGGGUUGUAAAGUACUUUCAGCGGGGAGGCGUUACCCGCAGAAGAAGCACCGGCUAACUCCGUGCCAGCCGCCGCGGUAAUAC
rnacentral:rRNA from 1 species